GAUGAGUGGUGUAGGUCUACCCCGGGAUCUGAAUCCAUGAACCCGGGCUGCCAAAGCAGAGCGUGCUGAACUUAACCCCUACACCACAGGGCUGGCCCAGGGUCUGAUCAUCUUAAAAUGAGCCAUCUACUUAAAUUCUAGAUUCAUUGAACUGAGCCAAUAAACUCCAGUUUGUAGCAGCUCUACCAACACAGAGGAUGCCUGAGUGUUCUAAGAUCCUGCUUAAAACAACAAGUCCUCUCGUCUUUAUUACAAUGUGACACAUUUUCUGAUGAAGCAGCAAUCUGAAAUAGAAAACAUGAUGUCAUAGACUAUGAAAUAAACGUUCUUAUUUUUAAUGAGAUCUGCCACCAUUUCAGACCUGCCUGAAGUUGAAAUGAACACGAUGAACAACUGUGAAUAAGAACUAACAUUUCAGGGUGUGAGGAAUCAGAGGUGACCGGAUGAUUUAGUUGUGUCCCAAGCAGGAUGUCCUAGUUUCAAAAUUAUUCAUGUAUUCAAAGCAACAGAAUAAAUCCCCAUUCUAUUUAAGAGGUAGUGAUUCUUUCUAUCCAAGUGAAAAUGCAGCACAUAGACCCAAAUUCUGCACUGAAAAUAGAAGAUUAUUAGCAUUAUAAUUUAUGUAAAUGGCUGCUCUAUUCAUGUGAAGGUAAUUGGUAUCUCUCAGUCAUAUGCUAAUUAUUACAUAAACAGAUCAUAAACAAUUAUGUGAGACGAUUUCCUUUUUUAAGCUGAAACUCCACCUAUUCCUUUAAAGGGUCUACUAUGUUAUUAUAUAAAACAGGAAAAGAAUGACUUAUAUGAGUUCCAAUGCUUUAAAAAUAAAAAUUCUGUUUGGUGCUCUAAAAAUUCUGUUAGGUUUGGUAGGCAUAAGAUCUAUCUAAGAUCUAGGGCAAUGAUUCCCCAUCUUACUGGAACUCACUGGAUAUGUUUGUCUUGGUGGUAGACCUUGAGAGGAAGAAUGGGCGUAAACUUCUCAAACUGAGUGCAUCAAAAUCACCUGGAGAGCUCGUUAAACGCAGGUUUCAGGGCUUCAUCCCCAGAGUUCCGAUUCAGUGGGCCUGACAAUUUGCGUUUCUAGCAAGUUCCAGGUGAUGCUGAUGCAAUUGGUUCCAGCACCACCCUUUAAGAAUCAGUGCUUUAAAGCACGGAUGUGGACUUGGACCCUCAAGGCUGAAGGGAUGUCUAGACUCAAUAGCUUCUUGACGUCCCGGUCCUGUGAUGGUGAGUUUCUUGCGUCUCCUUAAGGAUCGCAGGGCAACAACUACAGCCCUUUUGGUCCAAGUAUGAUGGAUCCCAUUACAAGCCCCCUAUGUCUUCCUCGAAGGACCUGGAGGAAGCUCCACAUUUCCCAUGGAACUUUGGACUGUCUAUCAACGGACGUGUGACAACAUGCCAAAGACCAGCAACAGCGUAGAAGGCUUUUCACAAAGCGAUGCAAAGCUCAGUUACAAAUACGCAUCCUGGUAUUUGAAAAUCGAUACCUCUCUUAAUGAAGAAAUCUUAGCCAUAAACAAAAAGUGUGAUGGAUGCCAAACAAAGAGAAGAAUCAACAAGCAAAAAGAAAAAGAGUGUACUCCUAUGAACAAAAGACUUCAAAGACAAAUACUUAGUAAAACUGCCCUACAGCCAAUUAGUUAUGCUGCGAAAACGUGUGCGAUGAAAAUACUUGCAGCAAAGAUGUUGAUGGCAAAGCUGCUUAUGACGAAAAUGCCAGACACAGAUUUUGUUCUCUUAGGCAAAUACCCAGAAGUAGAAUUGAUGAACCAUUGAGAACCCUCCGAGUGAAGCAGCAGUCAUGCGCCAACUAGGAGGCUGGGUGAAAGGCCAAGUCGAAGCUACUAGAGAAAUGCCUAUUGCUGCUUUUCUCUUGCCAAAGAUAAUAGAAUAAACCUCCUAAAACAAGAUAAUGAAGUCAAACUGCCAAAGUUUGGUUCUGUGUUUUGCAACCAAGAACACUGAUGAAGAAACUGAGUUCUAGGAGUGAGUUGAAACCAACAAACGUGGAAUCUGAGACCAGUUAUCUGUCUUAGCUAUUGAAGAUAACUAGUCAGAGAUGGGUAACUGGCACCUAUGGCCUGCAAGAGAGGAACUGCUGACUGAAUUAAUGCCUGUGGUCCCCAGGCAUCAAGUAUUCCCUGAAGGCAUGGCUUUGUGGACACUCAAUUGCCGCCAUCAUAAAAUGGUUUGAAGGACAUGAGAAAUUUGGGGAUAAAGGAAUUCUUUCUUUAAGGACUAAACACUUAAGGAAAAGGAAUGACAAACUUAAAUGACUAAACGAUUGGCUCAAGACUUGGACUGAAACUUGGAACUUUCUAUGACUGUGCAAAAGGAAAUUCUUAUCUCUUGCAACUAUAGAGCAGAGGGAGCUGAAAACUAAAAGCAUAGUUUGAUCCUGCAGACGGCCAAAUUACCUUGCCAGUCGAAUUCACGGCCCUGUCAGAUCUUUUGUGUGAAAUUUAGGGCAUCGAGUCUCAUUGCUGUAUUUGCAAUGCUUAGCCAAGAGCCUGGCCCUCACUCAAUGAAUCCUUGUGAAAAUGGAUAAAUCAUCAAAUUAAAAGUAAAAGCUUCUGUUAACAUUCGUCUUUCUUUUAAGUUAGCAAGGCAGUGACAAGGCAGUGACUGCUGUGAUCAGACACUGUAUUUUGCCUUCGGUGGCAUUAAAAAUUAGUGACUCUUCUAACCCUAUCACAGUUGUCUCCAAGACAAAAAAAAAAUUCGCGGAUAUGCGGUUUAUUGUAGUCUGAAAGCAGAGCUCCAUCGAAAGCUGCAGUUGCCUCCUCUUUGGGAAUUACAAGCGUUUAGUGAACUCUCCCAGAACGAUCUGGCAUAGCCAUGACUUUGAAGAAAUGAACAGCAGGGGCUGCAACAUUUCCAAAGGCAGUGACGUCUGCUUGCGGCCACGCACAGGGAAUUGCUCAGGCAUCCCCAGAGAG
rnacentral:lncRNA from 1 species